UGUAUGAAGAGGCUGUUUACACGGUAGUCAACAGGGUGGGCGUGCCCUCGCCAGAGUACGUCACCAAUGAAGGCGACAUCUUCAGUUAUCUGCUGAAGGUAUUUGAUAUGGGUCAGGAGGAACAUGACAUCAUUCUGCAGAGAGUCCAAGAAUCCAAGAGAGCCAGUUUCACCCUGAGAGUGUCUGUCAUGAAAGGGAAAAAUCUAAUGGCAAAGGAUGCAAAUGGUGAGGGGUGUUUGUGUUCAUUUACUGCUAUUGAUGGGAAGCAGCAUUUGUUUUCUGUGCGUGGAUAUGAAAUGUCAUCGUGUCCAUUUGCCAACUCC